rnacentral:tRNA from 1 species
GGAUAUAGCUCAGUGGUAGAGUGCGUGACUAGCAUGCACAAGGUCCUGGGUUCAAUCCCCAGUUCCUCCA